CCUGUGCCCUCUCUUUUCGACCGCGGCGCGCGACUCGGCGCAGUCCAGCUCAAGACGCGGACAAACUUCAGGGCCGGUGCUUGAAAAGACAGAAUUGUGGUGUUGAAAGGAGCUUU